AUUGAACGCUGGCGGCAGGCUUAACACAUGCAAGUCGAGCGGGGGAAGGUAGCUUGCUACCUAACCUAGCGGCGGACGGGUGAGUAAUGCUUAGGAAUCUGCCUAUUAGUGGGGGACAACAUUUCGAAAGGGAUGCUAAUACCGCAUACGCCCUAAGGGGGAAAGCAGGGGAUCUUCGGACCUUGCGCUAAUAGAUGAGCCUAAGUCGGAUUAGCUAGUUGGUGGGGUAAAGGCCUACCAAGGCGACGAUCUGUAGCGGGUCUGAGAGGAUGAGCCGCCACACUGGGACUGAGACACGGCCCAGACUCCUACGGGAGGCAGCAGUGGGGAAUAUUGGACAAUGGGGGGAACCCUGAUCCAGCCAUGCCGCGUGUGUGAAGAAGGCCUUUUGGUUGUAAAGCACUUUAAGCGAGGAGGAGGCUACCGAGAUUAAUACUCUUGGAUAGUGGACGUUACUCGCAGAAUAAGCACCGGCUAACUCUGUGCCAGCAGCCGCAGUAAGAC
rnacentral:rRNA from 1 species